UAACAAUGGAGCAUUAGAGAUGAUAGGCUGACUGAAAAGUGAGUUUUGAGGAGAGUGUGGUCAUUUGGCUCAUGACGACAGGGGAGAAUGUUCAAAGCAUAUGAAGGCGGUAUGAAGAUGAGGGCUGGAGAAGGAAGAUAUGAGACAUAAUUAAGGAAACCCAGCAGUGCCACAUGGCCCUACCUCUCAGUGGUACUCUAAGCGAGAUGUCCCUUGAAAUCACCCUGACAUGUAAUUCAAUAAAUAGCUCUAAAUGCCAUCGUGAUGAAGCUGCAAAACAGGGGAUUACAACUCCUGGUCAGGUGAGCAGCAGCAGCUGGGCAGGGAACCACUGCAAAGGAGACCCCAUGAACAAUGCUAACUGAGACUGGCCUGGAAACCUGCAAGCUCCUAUUUGCUUUAAUGGAGAGAGACUAGGCAGCGCACCCAGGCACUAGGCCUGAAGAGCCCUGACUCUCAAGUGGACUGCCCCUCAGGACCCAAACAGAAACUGCUAUUGCUCACUUUGAACUGUAACUGUUUAUUCUCUGUACUUACGGCAUUGGCAACCCUUCCCUUUCCUGCCAGCCGUAAUAAAAACCUUUCCCUUGGC